rnacentral:rRNA from 1 species
AGUGAACGCUGGCGGCAGGCCUAACACAUGCAAGUCGAACGGCAGCACAGGGGAGCUUGCUCCCUGGGUGGCGAGUGGCGGACGGGUGAGGAAUACAUCGGAAUCUGCCCUGUCGUGGGGGAUAACGUAGGGAAACUUACGCUAAUACCGCAUACGACCUUCGGGUGCAAGAGGGGGAUCGCAAGACCUCUCGCGAUGGGAUGAGCCGAUGUCGGAUUAGCUAGUUGGCGGGGUAAAGGCCCACCAAGGCGACGAUCCGUAGCUGGUCUGAGAGGAUGAACAGCCAAGCUGGAACUGAGACACGGUCCAGACUCCUACGGGAGGCAGCAGUGGGGAAUAUUGGACAAUGGGCGCAAGCCUGAUCCAGCCAUGCCGCGUGGGUGAAGAAGGCCUUCGGGUUGUAAAGCUCUUUUGUCCGGAAAGAAAAGCUUCCGAUUAAUACUCGGGAGUCAUGACGGUACCGGAAGAAUAAGCACCGGCUAACUUCGUGCCAGCAGCCGCGGUAAAAC